rnacentral:rRNA from 1 species
GACGAACGCUGGCGGCGUGCCUAAUACAUGCAAGUGGGACGCAAGGACACACACUGUGCUUGCACACCGUGUUUUCUUGAGUCGCGAACGGGUGAGUAACGCGUAGGUAACCUGCCUAUUAGCGGGGGAUAACUAUUGGAAACGAUAGCUAAUACCGCAUAAUAUUAAUUAUUGCAUGAUAAUUGAUUGAAAGAUGCAAGCGCAUCACUAGUAGAUGGACCUGCGUUGUAUUAGCUAGUUGGUAAGGUAAGAGCUUACCAAGGCGACGAUACAUAGCCGACCUGAGAGGGUGAUCGGCCACACUGGGACUGGGACACGGCCCAGACUCCUACGGGAGGCAGCAGUAGGGAAUCUUCGGCAAGGGACGAAAGUCUGACCGAGCAACGCCGCGUGAGUGAAGAAGGUUUUCGGAUCGUAAAGCUCGGUUGUAAGUCAAGAACGUGUGUGAGAGUGGAAAGUUCACACAGUGACGGUAGCUUACCAGAAAGGGACGGCUAACUACGUG